rnacentral:rRNA from 1 species
AGAGUUUGAUCAUGGCUCAGGAUGAACGCUGGCGGCGUGUCUAACACAUGCAAGUCGAACGAGGCCCUUUGUAUUCGUACGAAGGUGUCCAAGUGGCGAACGGGUGAGUAACACGUUGGUGACCUGCCCCAAAGUGGGGGACAACUCCGGGAAACUGGAGUUAAUACCCCAUGUGUUCCAAGGAGUUAGAGGUCCUUGGAGGAAAGGAGCAAUCCGCUUUGGGAGGGGCCUGCGGCCCAUCAGCUAGUUGGUAGGGUAAUGGCCUACCAAGGCUACGACGGGUAGGGGACCUGAGAGGGUGGCCCCCCACACUGGCACUGAAACACGGGCCAGACACCUACGGGUGGCAGCAGUGGGGGAUAUUGCCCAAUGGACGAAAGUCUGAGGCAGCAACGCCGCGUGCGCGAUGAAGGCCUUCGGGUUGUAAAGCGCUUUUCUGGGGGAAGAGGAAGGACGGUACCCCAGGAAUAAGUCUCGGCUAACUACGUGCCAGCAGCCGCGGUAAAACGUAGGAGGCGAGCGUUAUCCGGAUUUACUGGGCGUAAAGCGCGUGCAGGCGGUUUGGUAAGUCGGACGUGAAAGCUCCUGGCUCAACUAGGAGAGGCCGUUCGAUACUGCCAGACUUGAGGGCAGCAGAGGGAGGUGGAAUUCCGGGUGUAGCGGUGAAAUGCGUAGAUAUCCGGAGGAACACCAGUGGCGAAGGCGGCCUCCUGGACUGUUCCUAACGCUAAGACGCGAAAGCUAGGGUAGCAAACGGGAUUAGAAA